UCAAAUUUGAAAUCUGGCACCUUCGGUGUCCGAGUUGUAAUUUGAAGAAGGUAACUUUGGAGUUGGCUCUUGUCUAUGUUCCUUGGAACAGGACGUCACAGAGGGUGAGAAUCCCGUGCGAUGAGAUGUCCAACUCUAUGUAAAGUGCUUUCGAAGAGUCGAGUUGUUUGGGAAUGCAGCUCUAAGUGGGUGGUAAAUUCCAUCUAAAGCUAAAUAUUGGCGAGAGACCGAUAGCGAACAAGUACAGUGAUGGAAAGAUGAAAAGAACUUUGAAAAGAGAGUGAAAAAGUACGUGAAAUUGUUGAAAGGGAAGGGUUUGAGAUCAGACUUGGUAUUUUGUAUGUCUUGCUUUCGGGUGGGGCCUCUGCAGUUUACUGGGCCAGCAUCGGUUUGGACGGUAGGAUAAUGACAUUGGAAUGUGGCACUACUUCGGUGGUGUGUUAUAGACUGUGUUGAUACUGCCUGUCUAGACCGAGGACUGCGUCUUUGACUAGGAUGCUGGCAUAAUGAUCCUAAACCGC
rnacentral:rRNA from 1 species